AAUAAUAUUCUGCUUUCAUUUCAAAACCAUGAGAUCAGUAAAUUGAAGCUAACUGACUUUGGUGUGGCAAAAUCUAUUGAACCUCCUCUUUCACCAUACUCUAUUAAUAUGGGUAAUCCUUGUUAUAAAGCACCUGAACUUUUGCUGGGCUUUACCAAUUACUCAACUGCAGUUGAUAUCUGGUCUAUGGGCUGCAUAUUUGCUGAGAUGAUUAAGCUCCAACCUCUGUUCAUUGGUAACGAUGGACCAAAGAUAUUGACUGAGAUAUUUUGUUUGCUUGGCACGCCAACAGAAGAAAACUGGCCUGGUGUGGCUUCUCUGUGCAGCUUUAUUCAAGCAUUUGAC